AAGGCGGAGUCUCUAGAAGUUGAAUCUGCAGGACAAUUUACCCCCGAAUAAUAAGCUACAAACAGCCGAACGUGACGUUUGGAUUAGCUCAAAUACACGUUAGACUCAUCAGAGACUAAAUCGCUUCUAUAAAUAAGACAACUCAAGCUCUCAGUUAUUGAACACAAAUCCCAUAAGCUGAACUUGGAACAAUAAAAGAAAUGACGUUUCCAAGCAAAGAAAUGACGUUUCCAAGCAGAUAUGUUCUUUCAUUACUUUUAAUCCUUUUGUUAUCAUCAGCUUCACGGACAAAUUCAGAUUCAGUUGAAGACAGUUUUAUCCAUUGCCUCAAUUCCAAUUCUGAUCUUUCAGUUCCUUUCUCAAC
rnacentral:lncRNA from 1 species